rnacentral:misc_RNA from 1 species
AAAUGUGGGGGCUUGCUCCCGAUAGCAGUAGGUCGGUCAGGACAUCUGAUACUGAUACACCGCCAUCGGGAGCAAGCCCCCUCCCAC